rnacentral:rRNA from 1 species
GUGGGGAAUAUUGGACAAUGGGGGGAACCCUGAUCCAGCCAUGCCGCGUGUGUGAAGAAGGCCUUUUGGUUGUAAAGCACUUUAAGCGAGGAGGAGGCUACCGAGAUUAAUACUCUUGGAUAGUGGACGUUACUCGCAGAAUAAGCACCGGCUAACUCUGUGCCAGCAGCCGCGGUAAUACAGAGGGUGCAAGCGUUAAUCGGAUUUACUGGGCGUAAAGCGCGCGUAGGUGGCCAAUUAAGUCAAAUGUGAAAUCCCCGAGCUUAACUUGGGAAGUGCAUUCGAUACUGGUUGGCUAGAGUAUGGGAGAGGAUGGUAGAAUUCCAGGUGUAGCGGUGAAAUGCGUAGAGAUCUGGAGGAAUACCGAUGGCGAAGGCAGCCAUCUGGCCUAAUACUGACACUGAGGUGCGAAAGCAUGGGGAGCAAACAGGAUUAGAAACCCGGGUAGUCC